UUCCAGGUAGUUCCUUAAAUUACAUACGUAUCUUCCAAAUAAGGCUAUGCAAGUAACAAUAUUGCACCACCUAGUCGCAUGAUUUUGGGUGGCUAAAGUCUAACGUUCUUCAAAAUAUUAUAGUUGCUUAAGCUUACGGAGGAAGCUCUCAAUUCCAACAAUCUCUUUACUUCACUAUCCAAUAUGCUUUGCUUUCUGUAGAUGAUGUAUGUUAAGAGCUUAGGUGGGAAUUCCUUCGUAGCUUUUUACUUUCUUUUGGGUAAUAGUUUUUAAAAAAAUGUUGUGCUGGAGUUAUUUUUCUGGUGGAGAUUGCUUCAGUGACGAUCUAUAUGGGUUUCUGGUGGAAAGUUUUAGCUGGUUGCAAAACAUUGAUUUCAGGAUAUAUUUUGUGCUUGCUUUUACAUGUAUGUUAAGGCUAUCCCUUCUUUCUUUUGGCAUUAUCUAUACGACACGAACGAAACGAGCAAAUGCACAAUUUCUAUAAAUGACUCUAUUUAUAGAAAUAUUAAGGGUGUCUAUAUUCUUGAUUCUCCAUGUGAAUUAUUAUUAUAUCUUCUGUUCAUGGGUUUCAGAAAAAUACGUAUUUGACAAAAUUUAUCCGACAGGCAUAUUAUUUUUAUGAUAUUCCGAGAAAAUAUUAUUAACGUAUUUCUUAUGCAUUUCAUGCAUUUAUACAUAUACAUUUACCCAUGACCAGAUGGUGUUAUAUACGCGUAUAUAGGUAUAUUAUAUGUAUAUGGGAUAUGAAAAAAGGUUAUGGCAUUAUAUACGCACCACCACCUGAUCAGCUAGUAUACGUUGAUGAUUUGCCCACAGUGGCCGAAAUGAUAUGAUGGGAUGCCCUCAGUGGCUUGAUGAUAUUAUGAACACAUAUACCUAUGCAUGGUAUGACAUUUAAACGCAUAUGCAUGACAUUAUAAAAAUAAAAUGAUUCACAGAGCUAUGCAGACGUACAUGUCGAGUCUUUUACUCCAUGUUUCUCGCAUGUCUAUUAUUUACUGAUUUUCGUUCCUUACGUACUCGGUACAAUAUUUGUACUGACGUGCUUUUUGCGUGGGGACGCUGCGUUUCAUGCCCGCAGGUCGAGAGUCCUCCAAGUAGGCGAUCAUCUCAGCAGAAUAUAUUGGUGCACUCCAUUUGCUCCGGAGUUGCUUGUUUGGUCGGUAUGAUUUAGAUGUGUAUGGUUUGGUAUGGCGGGG
rnacentral:lncRNA from 1 species